AUUUAGCCCUGAUAGCAGUGAAAAUCCUUUUCCUUUUUUCUUUGAAAAGGAAAAGAUUGCAACGUAUAGCGGGAAAUAGC
rnacentral:sRNA from 2 species